rnacentral:rRNA from 1 species
AUCGACUACGUCGUAUAAAGUUCUAGAUAUAAGACUGAUAAUGACAAUUUUAUAUCUAUAUGUCUGACCAAAUCUCGUGCCAGCAGUCGCGGCAAUACGAGGAAGACUAGUGUUAUUCAUCUUUAUUAGGUUUAAAGGGUACCUAGACGGUAUAUCAAGCCUCAAAAGGGAACAGAUUUACUAGAGUUUUAUGUAAGAGGAAAAUUUAGUACUAUUGGAGUAGAGAUGAAAUUCUUUGAUACUAAUGGGACUGGUAUGCAAAAGCAGGCCUUUAUGUAUAAACUGAC